UCAGUUGAAUACUUAUUGAAUGUUGAUCACAAAUAUGAUGAAGUGUUUACAUUUGCCAAUAUUAUUUGAUUGUUGCGUUGUUCUUUUAUUUAGAAAAGUUACUAAUUUUAUAAAGACUUUAGAAUUGUUUAUUUAUGUAGCGCAUGAGCAUGAGCAUGGCUAACGCCUCUUGUGGGUUCGAGACGCCGUCUUUACUUUUGACAUGGUGCGAUGUUUCAGAUGGUAUGACGUAGGAAGCGUCUCGCAGGCAUAUAUUGGCUGGAGUAGUCUGAUCUGAGUAGUAGUUUUGGUGCUCGCACUUUACCAUGAUGAUGCCCACAAAGUCUAGAAGGCCUAUUGUUGAUGGUUAUAAGAAUAACGCAGUCUCCGACAUAUUAUAAUUAUUAUUUUUUUUCAUUUACUAACUGAUAGGGGGAGCUUUUUACACGUUUGUGUUAUGUUUAUUACAUUUUCAACUGCAAGUUCUAUGAGAACAACUAUCGCUAAUGGAAAUUUUCAUAACAAGCUUCCUGAUUUGAUCUGCCCUUAGUCCGAGCUUAGUACUGAAUCCCGCCCUAAAACUCCAGAAUAAGGCGAUCCUAUUACCUAAACGUGAGUUCCUCACGCCUUACAAUUCCGCUUUGAGCUGUCCCUCCGUGUAAUGUCUGUCGACAAAUUCGAGUUUCAUAGCAUGUAUCUUUAGAUAAAGAUAAAUGUAGCCUGCAUAUGAAAAUCAUAAUAUGAUGCGGGUUCGCUGGCCGCGUGACAUCUCUCUAUGGCCCUGGACACAUUAUUGUUAUCACUGACCUUUUGACCAGACGCUAAUAAAUUCUCGAUAUGCGUUUAUUAUUAACGUCGUGGCCAAGACAUGAAAACCCAUUAUGCAAUAAGUGAUCAACGCGCAGCGUCCAGCUUUCAUUUAGAACAGGACACACGAUUCGCACCAAAAAGAAAUAAAAAUAAAAGAAAUUAAAAGAAUCAUAUAUACUAUUUAAUCUAUUUUAUAUUAUUAUCUGAAUGUUGGAACCCAACUGGAUUCUUAAUGAAAAGAUGCAAACACUAAAUGUUAAGUGAAAGCUAACUAACACAUCUAAAACGGCAUCAAAUUCGGUUAACUCGUUUCUGAAAAUUCACGAGCAGACGCCGACCUUUAACAUAUUUGUUAUAUGUAUGUCAGGGCGCAGUCAGGCGCUCGUCAUGGACCCGGAGCGACAGCCGCUGCUCGCGCGUGUUCCAACACGACACGCACACCACAGGUACAAACAAACCAUCGCUCAUUAUGUCAAUACUAUGUCAGCAACUAGGUACUUCUUAUAAUUGGUUGUUUAAUAUAUACGUUUCAUUAAUAUCUCACUGUAAAUAGAGCAAUCGCUUAACAAACCUAGAAACUUAGCUAAUUAACAAAAAAAAAAAUGUAGAACUUUUGUCCACCACCAAUCCGAUCGAUAAGUUUCCGGAGAAGUUACGUGUCAAAUAAAUAUUGGCAGGUGGGUGAGCUGUGGGCGCUGUCGGCGGGCGAGGUGGCGGCGGCGCGGCGCGCGGCGGGGUGGCGGGG